UACGGGGGGGAGCAAGCGUUGUUCGGAUUUACUGGGCGUAAAGGGCGCGUAGGCGGUCAGCACAAGUCAGUUGUGAAAUCUCCGGGCUUAACUCGGAAAGGUCAACUGAUACUGUGCGACUAGAGUGCAGAAGGGGCAACUGGAAUUCUCGGUGUAGCGGUGAAAUGCGUAGAUAUCAGGAGGAACACCAAUGGCGAAGGCAGAUCUCUGGGCCGUAACUGACGCUGAGGAGCGAAAGCAUGGGGAGCGAACAGG
rnacentral:rRNA from 1 species